rnacentral:rRNA from 1 species
CGYUGGCGGCGUGCCUAAUACAUGCAAGUCGAACGAACCUUGACGAGAACUUGUUCUGGUCAAGGUUAGUGGCGCACGGGUGAGUAACACGUGGGGAACCUGCCCUUUAGUGGGGGAUAACAGUCGGAAACGACUGCUAAUACCGCAUAGACAAACUAACCGCCUGGUUAGCUUGGGAAAGGUGCUACGGCAUCAUUAAAGGAUGGCCCCGCGGUGCAUUAGCUAGUUGGUAAGGUAACGGCUUACCAAGGCCAUGAUGCAUAGCCGACCUGAGAGGGUGAUCGGCCACAUUGGGACUGAGACACGGCCCAAACUCCUACGGGAGGCAGCAGUAGGGAAUCUUCCGCAAUGGACGCAAGUCUGACGGAGCAACGCCGCGUGUGUGAAGAAGGUUUUCGGAUCGUAAAGCACUGUUGUAGAGAAGAACGGCUACUAGAGGAAAUGUUAGUAGAUUGACGGUAUCUAACCAGAAAGCCACGGCUAACUACGUGCCAGCAGCCGCGGUAAUACGUAGGUGGCAAGCGUUGUCCGGAUUUAUUGGGCGCAAAGGGAGCGCAGGUGGUUUCUUAAGUCUGAUGUGAAAGCCCACGGCUUAACCGUGGAGGGUCAUUGGAAACUGGGGAACUUGAGUGCAGAAGAAGAAAGCGGAAUUCCAUGUGUAGCGGUGAAAU